CUAUUCCAUACGCCUGUAGGAAGCAGAGGAAUGAGUUUUCUGGAUGACCAGCGUUUGAAUUGCCCGUGAGCGAUAAAAAGAAGCCACACAGAGAAGUGGUUAGAGAUGAUGUAUUAGGCCAGGCUUUAGUCAACACCUGAAUGAUGACAGCUGCCCUCCCCAAUCUUUCCAACCUUGGCAACUGCUGUUUACUCUAUCAGGAAGCGUUCUUGUCUGAAGCCUUGUUGGGGGUGCUGGUGGAGUUGACUGUGUCCCCUCUGACGUCUUCGAAGAGUCCCUCGUGUCGCUCAUCACCAUGCCAGCACAAGUGUGAUUCAAAGAUGUUGUCACUGACUUAUCUGUUACAGUCACACGACACCCAUGGGACAUAUCACUGGCUAGAAACCAGAGGUCACUGGUCCAAGGCAGUUCUGGUUUCAUUUGUUUGUCAAAGGAUGCAUGCCCCAUGACGUUCUCAGGUUAGGUGAUUCUCAGGAAGAACCCGCACCUCAGAGAAGCACUACACUUGGAAUUAUUCUAUUAUUAGAAGCAGUUUAAAUCAGGACCAGACCAAUGAAGAACCACACAGGCGGACAUCUGGGAGGGUUUCAAUCACAGCGUGCCUGGGCCUUCUCCCCACCCAAUCAAGGCACAUUGUCUCUUUGGCACAUGGAUGCGUUCUCCAAUCAAGAAA
rnacentral:lncRNA from 1 species